AGGUCAUAAUGCCCUAACAGGCGAUUCUGCCCUUACAGCUAUUGUGCCCCUAACAGGCCAUUUGUCCCUUACAGGCUGUUCCGCCCCUAACAGGCCAUUCUGCCCUUACGGGCUAUUGUGCCCCUAACAGGCCAUUUGCCCUUUACAGGCAAUUCUGCCCUAACAGGCUAUUACACAGUGAUUGCGCCCCUGACAGGCCACCCGAAGCCAAUUGGCUACUUGUUGCUGAACUGAGUUCCAAAACUGUUGUGUGGUUCAACUCUGCAACAGGCUUUGACAAAGCUUGCCAUAAUUCUUGUCAGGUAAACAACAACGGCCACCAUGGGCAGAACUCCACUCUGGUAUUUGCCCCUUUUCAAACUAUUGUGCCCCUAACAGGCCAUUUGCCCCUAACAGUCGAUUCUGCCCUUACAGGCUAUUGUGCCCCUUACAGGCUAUUGUGCCCCUUACAGGCUAUUGUGCCCCUAACAGGCCAUUGUGCCCCUAACAGGCCAUUUGGUAUUGACAAUUCAAUUUUUUAGUUAUUUAUUCGCAUAUUAUUGACAGUUCACGUUACGUACAUUCGUUCGUUUUAACAUUCACCAAAAAGUAGACAAAACAACACCCAUAGUUUGCCCACAAUCCCGCGUCGACAUAGACGCUCGAUCACGCUCGAUUUCGCUUUGUAGACGUUUCAUUUCUUUUCUAUAAUCCUCCCGAUUCUUUAACAACUCUCUCGCCCAUUGUGGCGGUUCAGAUGGCGAACGUGAGCGACUACGAGUCUCUGAACGACUGGCGGAUUGCGAAGACGCGACCUUGCUUUUUCGUCACUCGAAUGGCGCGAACUUCGUUCUGGAUUUUCUUCCCGCUCUCGAGGACUUCUAUUGUACGGAUCUAGGCGCCGUAACGCUCUAAGUCUGAUUUAGGUUGAUUUGAUUCUUUUGGCAUGACUACCAACAAAGGCAAUUUUUUCGCUCAACAAAAACGACACAGGUCAGGCUAGCACGAGGCAAGCAAAAAAGUGACUCUGAUGACCUUGACCCCACCCUUGACCCAAUCACCCAGCAGUGUGUGAGAAAAACAUUUUCUGCCUCUUUCGUUCCUCAGCCAGAAGAAAA